GAUACUGAAACAUUUUGGGAAAUAAUAGCUGGAUCAAAUGGCGAUGAUCUUGUUGGAUGAUGAUGUUGAUGAACAAGAAAAGAUGGUAUUAAAUAUUCAAAAGCUGGCCAAGACAACAACUUGGCUGAUAAUAAAAAAAAUAAUUGAACUGGUUUGUCAUUAGAGCCAAGACCUUGCCAAAGUAAAAUAUCGAUAAGUUCCGGCCAUAAAAAGAAUAAAUAAUGUCAAGUGCAACUUCAAAAGACUCUUAAAGUGUAAUAAGCGUGUGAAUAGUAAGUGUUGGUGAAUGUUGUGUGUGUCCUGCUGCUGCUGGUGAAGUCAUCGUCAUGAACUACCUUAGGACUAAUAGGACUCCUGGAUGGGAUGAUGAACAUUCGCUAAAAAGG